UUUACACACAUGAAAGCC
rnacentral:misc_RNA from 1 species